rnacentral:rRNA from 1 species
GUUGGUGGAGUGAUCUGUCUGGUUAAUUCCGUUAACGAACGAGACCUUAACCUGCUAAAUAGUUACGCCACGCUUCUACUCGCAUCCUCGGCGGUUGUUUACCUCUCGGGGUUUGCGGCUGUCGGGGGUCGGAACGCGUGUGUGCUUAACUUCUUAGAGGGACUAUUCGUUUCCAGCGAAUGGAAGUUUGAGGCAAUAACAGG